rnacentral:rRNA from 1 species
GACGAACGCUGGCGGCGUGCUUAACACAUGCAAGUCGAACGGUGAAGCGCCUUCCUUUUUGGUGGGUGUGGAUGAGUGGCGAACGGGUGAGUAACACGUGAGUAACCUGCCCCCUUCUUCUGGAUAACCGCAUGAAAGUGUGGCUAAUACGGGAUAUUCUGGGUCUGUCGCAUGAUGGGUCUGGGAAAGAUAUUGUUUCGGUGGGGGAUGGGCUCGCGGCCUAUCAGCUUGUUGGUGGGGUGAUGGCCUACCAAGGCGGUGACGGGUAGCCGGCCUGAGAGGGUGGACGGUCACACUGGGACUGAGACACGGCCCAGACUCAUACGGGAGGCAGCAGUGGGGAAUAUUGCACAAUGGGCGCAAGCCUGAUGCAGCGACGCCGCGUGAGGGAUGGAGGCCUUCGGGUUGUGAACCUCUUUCGCCAGUGAAGCAGGCCUGCCUCGUUUGUGGGUGGGUUGACGGUAGCUGGAUAAGAAGCGCCGGCUAACUACGUG